rnacentral:lncRNA from 1 species
GAGGGGCCGGUAGCCAGGCCUCAAGUUAAGUGCACUAGCCCACGGGUUCCACGGAAGGUGGGAUUGGAUAGCUCAUGCUCCAUCUCCCCCGCCCAGCAUGGCACCUUGGGCAGUGGCCGCUCCUCGGACAAAGGCCCGUCCUGGUCCAGCCGCUCACUGGGUGCCCGUUGCCGGAACUCCAUCGCCUCCUGUCCCGAGGAGCAGCCCCACGUGGGCAACUACCGCCUGCUGAGGACCAUUGGGAAGGGCAACUUUGCCAAAGUCAAGCUGGCUCGGCACAUCCUCACUGGUCGGGAGGUUGCCAUCAAGAUUAUCGACAAAACCCAGCUGAAUCCCAGCAGCCUGCAGAAGCUGUUCCGAGAAGUCCGCAUCAUGAAGGGCCUAAACCACCCCAACAUCGUGAAGCUCUUUGAGGUGAUUGAGACUGAGAAGACGCUGUACCUGGUGAUGGAGUACGCAAGUGCUGGAGAAGUGUUUGACUACCUCGUGUCGCAUGGCCGCAUGAAGGAGAAGGAAGCUCGAGCCAAGUUCCGACAGAUUGUUUCGGCUGUGCACUAUUGUCACCAGAAAAAUAUUGUACACAGGGACCUGAAG